AAAUUGAAGAGUUUGAUCAUGGCUCAGAUUGAACGCUGGCGGCAGGCCUAACACAUGCAAGUCGAACGGUAACAGGAAGCAGCUUGCUGCUUCGCUGACGAGUGGCGGACGGGUGAGUAAUGUCUGGGAAACUGCCUGAUGGAGGGGGAUAACUACUGGAAACGGUGGCUAAUACCGCAUAACGUCGCAAGACCAAAGAGGGGGACCUUCGGGCCUCUUGCCAUCAGAUGUGCCCAGAUGGGAUUAGCUUGUUGGUGAGGUAACGGCUCACCAAGGCGACGAUCCCUAGCUGGUCUGAGAGGAUGACCAGCCACACUGGAACUGAGACACGGUCCAGACUCCUACGGGAGGCAGCAGUGGGGAAUAUUGCACAAUGGGCGCAAGCCUGAUGCAGCCAUGCCGCGUGUAUGAAGAAGGCCUUCGGGUUGUAAAGUACUUUCAGCGGGGAGGAAGGUGUUGUGGUUAAUAACCACAGCAAUUGACGUUACCCGCAGAAGAAGCACCGGCUAACUCCGUGCCAGCAGCCGCGGUAAUACGGAGGGUGCAAGCGUUAAUCGGAAUUACUGGGCGUAAAGCGCACGCAGGCGGUCUGUCAAGUCGGAUGUGAAAUCCCCGGGCUCAACCUGGGAACUGCAUUCGAAACUGGCAGGCUUGAGUCUUGUAGAGGGGGGUAGAAUUCCAGGUGUAGCGGUGAAAUGCGUAGAGAUCUGGAGGAAUACCGGUGGCGAAGGCGGCCCCCUGGACAAAGACUGACGCUCAGGUGCGAAAGCGUGGGGAGCAAACAGGAUUAGAUACCCUGGUAGUCCACGCCGUAAACGAUGUCUACUUGGAGGUUGUGCCCUUGAGGCGUGGCUUCCGGAGCUAACGCGUUAAGUAGACCGCCUGGGGAGUACGGCCGCAAGGUUAAAACUCAAAUGAAUUGACGGGGGCCCGCACAAGCGGUGGAGCAUGUGGUUUAAUUCGAUGCAACGCGAAGAACCUUACCUGGUCUUGACAUCCACAGAACUUUCCAGAGAUGGAUUGGUGCCUUCGGGAACUGUGAGACAGGUGCUGCAUGGCUGUCGUCAGCUCGUGUUGUGAAAUGUUGGGUUAAGUCCCGCAACGAGCGCAACCCUUAUCCUUUGUUGCCAGCGAUUAGGUCGGGAACUCAAAGGAGACUGCCAGUGAUAAACUGGAGGAAGGUGGGGAUGACGUCAAGUCAUCAUGGCCCUUACGACCAGGGCUACACACGUGCUACAAUGGCGCAUACAAAGAGAAGCGACCUCGCGAGAGCAAGCGGACCUCAUAAAGUGCGUCGUAGUCCGGAUUGGAGUCUGCAACUCGACUCCAUGAAGUCGGAAUCGCUAGUAAUCGUGGAUCAGAAUGCCACGGUGAAUACGUUCCCGGGCCUUGUACACACCGCCCGUCACACCAUGGGAGUGGGUUGCAAAAGAAGUAGGUAGCUUAACCUUCGGGAGGGCGCUUACCACUUUGUGAUUCAUGACUGGGGUGAAGUCGUAACAAGGUAACCGUAGGGGAACCUGCGGUUGGAUCACCUCCUUACCUUAAAGAA
rnacentral:rRNA from 5 species